GGCUUCGGCCUGGGAAACGGCGAACGGGUAGUACACGUGGGUAAUCUGCCCUCGGCACUGGGAUAGCCCGGGGAAACCCGGAUUAAUACCGGAUAGCCUUUCGAGCCUUCGGGCUCGUCAGAAAAGGUGGCUUCGGCUUCCGGCUGAGGAUGAGCCCGCGGCGGAUUAGCUUGUUGGUCGGGGUAAUGGCCCACCAAGGCGACGAUCCGUAGCUGGUCUGAGAGGACGAUCAGCCACACUGGGACUGAGACACGGCCCAGACUCCUACGGGAGGCAGCAGUGGGGAAUCUUGCGCAAUGGGCGAAAGCCUGACGCAGCGACGCCGCGUGCGGGAAGAAGGCCUUCGGGUUGUAAACCGCUUUCAGGAGGGACGAAGCCACUCGGGUUAAUACCCCAGAGGGUGACGGU
rnacentral:rRNA from 1 species